GAAUGAUGCACUUUCAAUCCGCUUUCACAAUUGUUUGCAAGUGGAUUUUGCUAUUCCGCACAGCUGCAAGGUGGAUUGAAAGUGCUUUAUUCUCCAUGUGCGGAAGGGGCCAACAUUUGAAAGUGGGUGGCGUUUCAGAAAGACUGAGAAACUCCUGUGAUAAGGAUUCGUUCAGCAGUCCCUAACAGCAGAAAACAUUCCCUGAAAGAUAACUUGCUCCAGAGACUCGGCUGUCUGGACCAGAAUGGAUGCUUUGUUCUCAGGGAUCGGAUGUGCCACCCCAAAGACCUGCACGCCCCAGAAUUUCUGCGGUCCUUUAAGAUUCUGACAGCAGACGUCCCCCUGAAGUUAGAACGCUACUGCCGAAGCUGCUUUCAUCUUGACUGUUCAGGCAAAAAAACCUGGUACUUUUGUAGUUUAAAGGCGGUUUUGGUGCAGGUUGCCUGAUUUGUGCUUGCUGUUUUCUUCAAAUGUAGCUCUUAUCUCUGUGCUACUUCUCUGAACAUGGUAUGUAAUCUCAACUUGAAAUAUUUAUUGUUUUGACUUUGUUAAUAAAUGGACAGGUGAGUCAUA